UGAGGAAAAGAAACUAACAAGGAUUCCCCUAGUAACGGCGAGUGAAGCGGGAAAAGCUCAAAUUUGUAAUCUGGCGCCUUGGGCGUCCGAGUUGUAAUCUCGAGAAGUAUUUUCCGCGCUGGACCGCACAUAAGUCUGUUGGAAUACAGCGUCAUAGUGGUGAGAACCCCGUAUAGGGUGCGGAUGCCCAGUGCUUUGUGAUAUACUUUCGAAGAGUCGAGUUGUUUGGGAAUGCAGCUCAAAUUGGGUGGUAAAUUCCAUCUAAAGCUAAAUAUUGGCGAGAGACCGAUAGCGAACAAGUACCGUGAGGGAAAGAUGAAAAGCACUUUGGAAAGAGAGUUAACAGUACGUGAAAUUGUUGGAAGGGAAACGCUUGAAGUCAGACUUGCAUUUUGGAGUUCAGCCGCAAGGUGUAUUCUUCAAUUCGCAGGCCAGCAUCAGUUUUUGGGGGUGGAAAAUCGUGGUUUGAAGGUAGCAGUCUCGGCUGUGUUAUAGCUUUCCACUGGAUUCACUUUUGGGGACUGAGGAACGCAGUACGCUUUUUGCAAGAUUCUAGGGUCUUUCGUACUUAGGAUGCUGGUGGAAUGGCUUUAAACGACCCGUCUUGAAA
rnacentral:rRNA from 1 species